rnacentral:pre_miRNA from 1 species
AUUCUACUCCCUCCGUUGCACAAUACAUGCCUUCUAUUUGUCAAAAUAUAUAUGUAUCUAGACAUGUCUUAGUAUAUAGGUACAUCCAUUUUUGGAUAAAUGGAAGUCAAGUAUUUUGGAACGGAGGGAGUACACA